rnacentral:rRNA from 1 species
AUUGAACGCUGGCGGCAGGCCUAACACAUGCAAGUCGAACGGUAACAGGCCGCAAGGUGCUGACGAGUGGCGAACGGGUGAGUAAUGCAUCGGAACGUGCCCAGUCGUGGGGGAUAACUGCUCGAAAGAGCAGCUAAUACCGCAUACGAUCUAUGGAUGAAAGCGGGGGACCGUAAGGCCUCGCGCGAUUGGAGCGGCCGAUGACAGAUUAGGUAGUUGGGGGGGUAAAGGAUCACCAAGCCAACGAUCUGUAGCUGGUCUGAGAGGACGACCAGCCACACGGGGACUAGGACACGGCCCAGACUCCUACGGGAGGCAGCAGUGGAGAAUUUUGGACAAUGGGGGCAACCCUGAUCCAGCAAUGCCGCGUGCAGGAAGAAGACCUUCGAGUUGUAAACUGCUUUUGUACGGAACGAAACGGUCUGGGUUAAUACCCUGGGCUAAUGACGGUACCGUAAGAAUAAGCACCGGCUAACUACGUGCAAGCCGCCGCAGUAACAC